GAUGAAGAACGCAGCGAAAUGCGAUACUUGGUGUGAAUUGCAGAAUCCCGUGAACCAUCGAGUCUUUGAACGCAAGUUGCGCCUCAAGCCAUUAGGUUGAGGGCACGUCUGCCUGGGCGUCACAUAUCGUUGCCUGAUGCCAGUUUCCUCGUGAUGGGUGACUGUGCAGGGCGAAUGAUGGCUUCCCGUGAGCAUUGUUGCCUCAUGGUUGGUUGAAAAUUGAGUCCUUGGUAGGGAGCGCCGUGAUAGAUGGUGGUUGAGUGACGAACGAGACCCAAUCAUGUGAGACCCCUACCGAAUUUGGCCUUCAUGACCCACAUGCGUCUUUGGAACGCUCAUGACGAGACCUCAGGUCAGGCGGGGCUACCCGCUGAGUUUAAGCAUAUCAAUAGCGGAGG
rnacentral:misc_RNA from 1 species